rnacentral:rRNA from 1 species
UGGCGGCACGCCUAACACAUGCAAGUCGAACGCAGUAGCAAUACUGAGUGGCAAACGGGUGAGUAUAAUGUGGGAAUCUGCCUUUUGGUUCGGAAUAACACGAGGAAACUUGUGCUAAUACCGGAUAAGCCCUUACGGGGAAAGUUUUAAUGCCAAAAGAUGAGCCCGCACUUGAUUAGCUAGUUGGUAAGGUAAUGGCUUACCAAGGCAACGAUCCGUAACUGGUCUGAGAGGACGACCAGUCACACUGGGACUGAGACACGGCCCAGACUCC